CGCUGCACCUUGACACCCUCCUUACACCGCCCCCUGCUGGUGAACAGCGGUCUCCAGCCAGUCUGCUCAAAGAGUAGAAGGUGUGAGGUGGGGCCUGGUGACUCAAUGCAGCCGAUCCUGGGAGCUAGGACAGCACCAAGUUUCACCUCAUCCAGGAAGACAGGCAUCAGCUCCUGGUGCACCCCGAUUCACAACAGCUGCUCCAGAGGGACUUGCAUCGCCCACUCAAAGGGAAGGGGAGGCUUUUGGGAUCCAGGCCAGCGGCUCAGGGCCCUGGUGACCCACGUUGGCUGCGUGAUCUUGGGCGAGCUUCUCAGCCCGUUUCGGCUUUCAAUCCCCAUGUCUGACAAGUGCAGAUAAUGACAUCUACCUUGGCUGGGAUAAUUGCUGUCAUUUAUUGAAUCAAUAAAGGAAAAGUGCCUACCACCCAGGACAUGUUAUCACCAAGGUGAACUCUGAAGCUCCCAGCUACCACUUCCC